UUUAAUAUUCCUGAAGCAUCUGAUUUGAGGACGAAGAAAAAAAAUACUUCAGACCAUAGGAAAGUGAUGGAGGCAGUUUAAGUCAGAUUUCACCUCCAAAUGGGCUCUGGAAAAUGACAAGGAGGCGAGGAUGAUAAUAUAUGUGAAAAUUAUGACAUAAGCAAGGAGAAGUGGAACCAGUUUUGCCAGAGCCAUAGAGAUCCUUCAUGGGAGGAUGUUCAAAAGAAGGCACAUGCCAUUCAGAAACAAAACAUUGCCUCUCACGUGUUGUCUUGUAAGGGCUAUGAUUAUCUAGAACAAAAGGUGAUGGAGGACAAGAAAAAGAAACAAUUGGAGGAAGCAGCCUAAUAAUCCAAGAGCACUGACACAAUUAUUAAUCCUCCAUCUCCCAUUAGACGAAACAUGAAGUGGAAGAUGACCCGCACGAAAAAAUCUGGUCAAAUGACGUCUGAGGCAUCAAAUGAAAUUGCAAAUAGGAUUAUUCCCUGGAAGAGCAAGCCUCAUAAGGAAGCUUUAUUGCCCAUGGACGUCAGGAUGUAUUGACUACUACCAUUGGACGACCAGAACACCCUUGCAGUGUCCAUGCUGUUGGAGUCGAUGUCAUGAUCAAACAAUACUUUGGAAUGACUUCAAGGAGAUCCCACACAUCUAUGUCCAUGGCUCCCGAAGACCUGGAGCAUAUGACACAAAAAAUCAAGGACCAUCUAGAGGAGUUGAUCACAGAAAAAGUGACUCAAAAACUAAUGUUGUCCUUCAGCCAGAUACAGUCCUAGUUGCAUCCAUAGAUGCAAUCGCAGAUGCAAUCACAAGGACUCGCAUUGCCUCCUAAGCCUAAGGUUGGUCCUUCUGCUGCUUGUGUCAGCACAAAGGAAAGUUGUGUUGAUCCCUCAGGGCAGGACCCAGACACAGGUGACUCAGAGAAAUCUGGGUUGUAUGUCGAUGAAAAUCCUCCCCACCUGGUUGCCCUUGGAAGACUUUAUGAGAGUUUGACUAUCAUCCACAACAUCCCUAUGGGCAAUGAUCAAAUCAAGGUCGGUGUUAAUGAAGUUCAAGAUGCCGAUGCUCGCGUUCCUAUAUCCAUGAUAAACAGUGUUGUAAGGGAUCGACGAAACUUGCAGAUAGGCCGGAUCCUGAUGUCGAUCUCCAAUACUUGAUGACAUUGACCAUCCCGCAACUUUUCCUCAAGCCUUUGCUGGUGUCGUGGGAUGUUAUUGUGUUUGGGGUGUAUAAUGAUAACUUCCCCUUGUACAUAAAACAUGAAGAUCUUUUUGAAAUAACACACGGUGGUCAAUGUCUCAAUAUCUCUGUUAUACAAUUGUGGAUUUUGUAUCUCACUUUACAUUAUUGUAUAUUAGCUACCUGAUUGUUUUAAA